UAAAGAGUUUGAUCCUGGCUCAGGACGAACGCUGUCGGCGCGCCUAACACAUGCAAGUCGAACGAAGUUGCUUUGAAUGAAUUCUUCGGAAGGAAUUUGAUUCAACUUAGUGGCGGACGGGUGAGUAACGCGUGAGUAACCUGCCUUUCAGAGGGGGAUAACGUCUGGAAACGGACGCUAAUACCGCAUAACAUAUUGGUUUCGCAUGGAGCUGAUAUCAAAGGAGCAAUCCGCUGAAAGAUGGACUCGCGUCCAAUUAGCUAGUUGGUGAGGUAACGGCCCACCAAGGCGACGAUUGGUAGCCGGACUGAGAGGUUGAACGGCCACAUUGGGACUGAGACACGGCCCAGACUCCUACGGGAGGCAGCAGUGGGGAAUAUUGCACAAUGGGGGAAACCCUGAUGCAGCGACGCCGAGUGAGGGAAGAAGGUUUUCGGAUUGUAAACCUCUGUCCUUGGUGAAGAUAAUGACGGUAACCAAGGAGGAAGCUACGGCUAACUACGUGCCAGCAGCCGCGGUAAUACGUAGGUAGCGAGCGUUGUCCGGAAUUACUGGGUGUAAAGGGAGCGUAGGCGGGAUUGCAAGUUGAAUGUUAAAUCUAUGGGCUCAACCCAUAGCCGCGUUCAAAACUGCAGUUCUUGAGUGAAGUAGAGGCAGGCGGAAUUCCUAGUGUAGCGGUGAAAUGCGUAAAUAUUAGGAGGAACACCAGUGGCGAAGGCGGCCUGCUGGGCUUUAACUGACGCUGAGGCUCGAAAGCGUGGGUAGCAAACAGGAUUAGAUACCCUGGUAGUCCACGCUGUAAACGAUGAUUACUAGGUGUGGGGGGACUGACCCCUUCCGUGCCGGAGUUAACACAAUAAGUAAUCCACCUGGGGAGUACGACCGCAAGGUUGAAACUCAAAGGAAUUGACGGGGGCCCGCACAAGCAGUGGAGUAUGUGGUUUAAUUCGAAGCAACGCGAAGAACCUUACCAGGUCUUGACAUCCGGUGCAUAGCCUAGAGAUAGGUGAAGCCCUUCGGGGCACCGAGACAGGUGGUGCAUGGUUGUCGUCAGCUCGUGUCGUGAGAUGUUGGGUUAAGUCCCGCAACGAGCGCAACCCUUACGUUUAGUUGCUACGCAAGAGCACUCUAGACGGACUGCCGUUGACAAAACGGAGGAAGGUGGGGAUGACGUCAAAUCAUCAUGCCCCUUAUGACCUGGGCUACACACGUACUACAAUGGCUAUUAACAGAGGGAAGCAAGAUGGUGACAUGGAGCAAACCCCUAAAAAUAGUCUCAGUUCGGAUUGCAGGCUGCAACCCGCCUGCAUGAAGCCGGAAUUGCUAGUAAUCGCGGAUCAGCAUGCCGCGGUGAAUACGUUCCCGGGCCUUGUACACACCGCCCGUCACACCAUGAGAGUUGGCAACACCCGAAGCCGAUAGUCUAACCGCAAGGGGGACGUCGUCGAAGGUGGGGUUGAUGAUUGGGGUGAAGUCGUAACAAGGUAGCCGUAUCGGAAGGUGCGGCUGGAUCACCUCCUUUCUA
rnacentral:rRNA from 1 species